GACGAACGCUGGCGGCGUGCUUAACACAUGCAAGUCGAACGGAAAGGCCCUGCUUUUGUGGGGUGCUCGAGUGGCGAACGGGUGAGUAACACGUGAGUAACCUGCCCUUGACUUUGGGAUAACUUCAGGAAACUGGGGCUACUACCGUAUCGGAGCUCCUGCUGCAUGGUGGGGGUUGGAAAGUUUCGGCGGGUGGGGAUGGACUCGCGGCUUAUCAGCUUGUUGGUGGGGUAGUGGCUUACCAAGGCUUUGACGGGUAGCCGGCCUGUGAGGGUGACCGGCCACAUUGGGACUGCGAGACGGACCAGACUCCUACGGGAGGCAGCAGUGGGGAAUAUUGCACAAUGGGCGGAAGCCUGAUGCAGCAACGCCGCGUGCGGGAUGACGGCCUUCGGGUUGUAAACCGCUUUCGCCUGUGACGAAGCGUGAGUGACGGUAAUGGGUAAAGAAGCACCGGCUAACUACGUG
rnacentral:rRNA from 1 species